AAUAUUGGACAAUGGGGGCAACCCUGAUCCAGCCAUGCCGCGUGUGUGAAUAAGGUCUUCGGAUUGUAAAGUGCUUGAAGUUGGGAGGAAGGGCUUUAGGUUAAUACCCUGAAGUAUCGACGUUACCGACAGAAUAAGCACACGCUAACUCUGUGCCUGCAGCCGCGGUAAUACAGAGGGUGCCAGCGUUAAUCGGAAUUACUGGGCGUAAAGCGCGCGUAGGUGGUUCAGUAAGAUGGGUGUGAAAUCCCCGGGCUUAACCUGGGAACUGCUUUCAUAACUGCUGAGCUAGAGUACGGUAGAGGGUAGUGGAAUUUCCUGUGUAGCGGUGAAAUGCGUAGAUAUAGGAAGGAACACCAGUGGCGAAGGCGACUACCUGGACUGAUACUGACACUGAGGUGCGAAAGCGUGGGGAGCAAAC
rnacentral:rRNA from 1 species